AGUCAGCCCGUCCUUUGACUCUUUGAAGCCAGGCGUUGACUUCUCUCUAGCUGUGAAAUUCCUGCAGCGCAUGGUCUUCCAAUAGAAAGCUAUUUUGUCUCCCUUGCAAAUCUGUUGC
rnacentral:miRNA from 1 species